AAUGACUCUCGGCAAUGGAUAUCUUGGCUCUUGCAUCGAUGAAGAACGUAGUGAGAUGCGAUACUUGGUGUGAAUUGCAGAAUCUCGUGAACCAUUGAGUCUUUGAACGCAAGUUGUGCCCGAGGCCUUGCGGUCGAGGGCACGCCUGCUUGGGCGUCAUUG
rnacentral:rRNA from 1 species